AUGAUAUCACCCUAGAGGAGUAGAAAACGAAUUGUAUUCUUCAACAAGAUGGAACAGGGUGUUUGUGCUCGGGAAGUCUACUAAGCAGGCAAGGGUGGAAAAAAGCACCAGAAGUUGCUUACCAAGACACACUCUGCUCAACACAAGCUCCUUGCACUGCUCUGCCUGUAGCUCAAACCCCAUCCCUCACACCCUGUGAUUUUCUGGAGGGGACCAACCCGCAUUUUAAGCUCAGCUUUGGCUCAGGGAUGGCCUGAGGCACAGCUUCGGCAGGCAGAGGCUCCUACAGAGAUUACACAACCUGAACCCGCUGCCCACAAAGAUCACAAAUAUAUUUCUUCCAGGACCUCACAGCUAACAUCUCUGGUAUUAAAGCCGCAUUUAUAAAUGACAGCAGCGCUUGCAGCGCUAUGUACAAUUCACAUGUGCAUACCUUAGCACGUCAGCUAUUGGCUCUGGCUCCUCCAACUUCCAUAGUGAAGUGCAGCUGGUAGUCAGGCAGAAUGGUAUGUAGCUGUGGGCACUUCGGGUUGUGUUGUUGGCGUGGUUUUUUUUUGUUGUUGUUAUAGGAAAUAUUUCUCUAAAUAUGGUUUCCAGCUAUCUCUUAUCUCCCAUUUCUCCCAAAAGAUGAAGCCUGAAUUCAGGGGCCAGGAGACACUGCCUCAGGAGGUGUAUAUCUGAUUCCUAAGAAACAGAGGUGAAAUUGCUUGCCAGAAACAGCUCUUUUUUUCCCCUGGUUUUGUUUUGUUUUGUUUUUUCUUUUCCAUUGUUUCAUUGUUCAGUUUUGGUGGUUUUAUUUAUUUAUUUUUUCUUCCUGCAUACUACUUUAAUGCUCCCUAAAUACUUACGUUUUUACCUGUUUGGCAUUGCAUGCUCCAACUUCAGUAGCGCUUAAUGAAAAUGGACAGCAAAGAGGAGAUUAAAGCCAAUGGUUCUGGCAGUCAGAACAUCGGGAGGCAAACAAAUGGCACAGGAAUGCUGCACGUUGAGCAGUUACUUCCAUUACAGCGUAGCGCUUGUUUUUUUCCUGGAGACAAAGUCAGCUGAAGCUGUUCAAACACCAAAAUUAGCUUUGAGGAACUGAAAGGCUGCCUGGGCCGUACGCCUUCCUGGAUGCACCACACGAGUCCUGCUGUGCUCUGAAGGUGGGCGCUACCUGUGGCACAGGCCUCCUGCGGCCCAUCAGCCUGCUCCCCGACUCCAGCACCACGCAUGGACCAUCCUGGUGGCCCAGGUCCUCUUCGGGUGCUGCUCCUGAAGCAUCCACCUCCUUCCACUGCCUCCUUCCCGGGGCAGAGGGCAGGACAGAGGCUGGCAGGUCCCCGAAGCGCUCCCACUGAGCUCCUCCCAGCUUAUGGUGAGGUGCCAGGAGCGUGGGCAUGGAAGGGACACACACGCCGGAGAUGAGUUCCCUCAGCCUCGGGACAGAUCUGCUGUGACCUCGGCUCCAGGCGUGUCACAGACAGCAUUUCAGCAUGGGGCUGAGACGGCGCAUGGAGUCCUUAAGCAGCCUGUCUGCACAGGAAUGAAUGUCAUCCUUGAUUUCUAA